rnacentral:rRNA from 1 species
GACGAAGGGGGCUAGCGUUGUUCGGAAUUACUGGGCGUAAAGCGUAUGCAGGCGGACUUUUAAGUCGGGGGUGAAAUCCCGAGGCUCAACCUCGGAACUGCCUUCGAUACUGGAAGUCUUGAGUCCGGGAGAGGUGAGUGGAACUCCGAGUGUAGAGGUGAAAUUCGUAGAUAUUCGGAAGAACACCAGUGGCGAAGGCGGCUCACUGGCCCGGUACUGACGCUGAGGUGCGAAAGCGUGGGGAGCAAACAGG